UCCCUGAUGGUCCAGGGUUAGGACUCUGUACUUCCACUUCCAGGGGCCCGGGUUCGAUCCCUGAUUGGGGAA
rnacentral:tRNA from 1 species